UACGUAGGAGGCGAGCGUUGUCCGGAGUUACUGGGCGUAAAGCGCACGUAGGCGGCUUUGCAAGUCAGAGGUGAAAGCCCGGGGCUCAACCCCGGAAUUGCCUUUGAGACUGCAUCGCUAGAAUUGUGGAGAGGUAAGUGGAAUUCCGAGUGUAGAGGUGAAAUUCGUAGAUAUUCGGAAGAACACCAGUGGCGAAGGCGACUUACUGGACACAUAUUGACGCUGAGGUGCGAAAGCGUGGGGAGCAAACAGG
rnacentral:rRNA from 1 species